AUAAAAUAUAUUCUCCCUAUUUUCCCAUUCUCACCAUUUGGAUUCUGAAUCCCUAAUCGCCUCCUCUUCGCCCUCUAACGUGCACCGCCGCUUCUUCCUCAGCUUCUUAUCGUGGGCGCCUGCUGCCACAACUGCAUGACUUGGUCAAGUGGGUUCGAAGGCAAGGAGGGUUCGUACACCAGGCAUUGAAGAAAGCCAAAGACAUCAGCCAUGGUCUUGGGAUUCUUGCGUCUGAGGAAAUCCCAAAAAGGUCUGAACUCAUUGUUUUUCCUGAACAUAUUCCUUUGAGGUUUGAGUCUCUUGAAUCUGACGAAAUUAACUCUGUUAUGAUCGAUUUGUCUCGCAAAGCACUUGGUUGGUAACUUCAAGUUUUGUACAUUAGGCUAUACUGGAUUUUGAAUAUGACUAAAAUGGACACUGAGGAAGCAUUUGGCAGAGGAACUAUGUGCAAUAAAAUUGGGUUUGAAGCUUCUGCAAGAAAGAGCAAAGGUCGGAUCCUUUUGGUGGCCAUACAUCAGCAAUCUCUCGGAAGCUUACAGCAUUCCAAUUUUCUUCCCUGGUACUUUACUACUGGUUGCACCACUAAAUGCCUCUCUUAUUGUGGGUUAAUUUGGGAAAAAUGCUAACAAUGUUAUGCGGCCAAGAAACAACUUCAACAAUUUGUUUCAGCUCUACGCGGUUGUGAAUUAAUGGCCCAAGCCUAUUCUUCACUUGGAGCCAUUUUGGAAAAUGUUGAAUCUAGGCAAUUUGGUGCCUGUGGUGAUCAUGAAGCCUGUUGCUCUGCUUCUUAUGGUUGGAGUUGAGUAUUUGUAUUAUGUAUUAUAUAUGUAAACUUGCAUAGAUUUGAGUAUUCUAUAUUUGUGUAUAUAUAUUGUAUAUUGUAAAAUUGUACAUAUUUAAGUUUGUUUUUUCAAUGACUUAAA